rnacentral:rRNA from 1 species
CUGGAGGUAUCAGAAGUGCGAAUGCUGACAUAAGUAACGAUAAAGCGGGUGAAAAGCCCGCUCGCCGGAAGACCAAGGGUUCCUGUCCAACGUUAAUCGGGGCAGGGUGAGUCGACCCCUAAGGCGAGGCCGAAAGGCGUAGUCGAUGGGAAACAGGUUAAUAUUCCUGUACUUGGUGUUACUGCGAAGGGGGGACGGAGAAGGCUAUGUUGGCCGGGCGACGGUUGUCCCGGUUUAAGCGUGUAGGCUGGUUUUCCAGGCAAAUCCGG